UGCAGUCAUGUAAUUGUGUAUUCUCUCUUGAUAGUGUGCACUUUAAAAUGGCUGCAGAUAGUAAAUGUGGCUCACGGGCCUCUAUGUUCCCUAUGGUAAACAUAGAGGAUAAUAAAGUGCUGCAAACAUCG